rnacentral:RNase_P_RNA from 1 species
UUGAGCGGCCGGGGAGCCGCUCCGCCCGCCUCGCGCGGACGGGGAGGAACUUCCGGACUCCGUAGGGCAGGACGCUCGCCUUGGGGCGAGGCUUGCGGGGCCAUAUCCCCGCGGGAUGGAAAGUGCCACAGAAAAUACACCGCCGGCGGCGCAAGCCGCAGGCAAGGGUGAAAUGGUGCGGCAAGAGCGCACCGCGCGCGCGGCGACGCGCGCGGCAGGGCAAACCCCGUCCGGAGCAAGGCCAAACAGGCGCCAGGGCUGCCCGCCCGCGCCGCGCCGCAAGGCGCGGCAGGCGCCAAGUGGGCCGCAUAGAUUAAUGGUUCCCGCCGCGCGCGAAAGCGCACGGAACAGAAUCCGGGGUACAGGCCGCUCUUAAUU